rnacentral:lncRNA from 1 species
AUCAAGUAAUUUGACCUUCCAACCUAUUUAACAUCUAUAAAUCUAUUAAACAUAAUGAAUCCACAAUAUUUCUUGCCACGUGGCAUGAAACCCUUCAUUCUUAGAUUAAUAGAUAGAAAAUAAAAACCAACUUUGAGCCAAAUCAAUUCUCUAAAACAUAAUGAAUCCACAAUGUCUCUUCCUCUUCCUACGGUUUCUCUUUUCAUCUCUCUUACGUUAUAUUUAAAAGUUAUCUUAAUUUGUGAGUAGUGAGGCUCAUUAUUUUUUAAUUAAUGUGAAAUGUUUCUUCUUCCUACGCCUUCUCUUAUCAUAUCUCUUACUUUUAUUUUUAGAUAUAAAUGAGAACAAUUGCUAAUUAAACAUUGCUAAAAAAGAAAAAACAUUAAUUAAGUAAGUUACACAUUCAUAAAUCAUAUUGCUAAUUGAUAAUUUAGAAGGUCAUCCGUUAUCUAAAAUUAAAUUUUGAACUUUAAUUUGGGUGAUUAAUAUGGAGAAUUAAUAACAAAUGAAUAAAAGAAAUUGAUGGGAAGAGAAAUAGUUGAGGAAAAAAAAAGAAAUAGUAAGAUAAAUCAAAUGGUAAAUGAUCAUUUAGAAAAGGGAAAACUUCUAAAUUAUCAAUUAGCANGAAAUAUUAACGAAAAAGCUUCCGAAAAGAUAAAAAUGAAACCACAGGGGGGUAAAUUGAUACGUUUUAAACCACAGGGUAGCAAAGUGAGAAUGCACGAAACCACAGGGGGGGGUUUUUGAAGUUUUCCCUUUAGAAAAUCGCAUAGGCAUAUCUUUUCUCUCCCUCACCCCAUCUAAGCAGCACCUACGUCGCCCGCCUUCGCUCCACUGCGGACUCCUUCGCCUUUCACUCCCCCCGCAAGAAGACCCUCUUCGAUCAACAUCUGAAGCCCCUCCUUCGAUCGCUACCACUCCUUCCCCGACGAUCCCAAUCCUGAUUCCUAUUUGGCCUUUAUUUAUUACUUUUUAGAUUUUAUUUUAUAAUAUUUU